AUUCUUUGUGAGGAUCAAUCCAGAUGUUGGUACCAAAUGCACAGCCAAAGUCGAUACAAGCCGCAAGACGGAAAGUCUAGUCAAGAGGAAAGUAGUCUGUGUCAACUCCCAGAUCACCACCUUCUUCCAACGACUUGCUGAAUUUGAAUGGAGGACUUCCAACUAGUUCAGCUUCCACAAGAUGGAUCCCACUGAUUUUGUUUGACGAAUGGAAUAAAAGUUCUUCUGAUGUAGGAAA